UCAUCGCUGCAGAGUGUUUUGGUCUACCAGCUCUAGUUUGGGCUCUACAUGUUCUGUAUCGUCAUCAAAUGAGUGGAGGCCGAAUCUUAGCCUUGGUCAUCAUGCUUCUUCCCCCCGACCUGCUGGAGCUGCUUCUGAAUCCAUACAUAGUGACAACAUUGUUGCAGAAUAAAAACUGCUGGGAGACGAGCACAACAUGCAGGAUAUUAACCUGUUUAUGGUCAGGAUCAAUGAUCUAUGGGUUUCUCCUACAACAGGUGGUGGCUCUAGAGGAUGCUCUCUCUUUGAGACAUCCACACUGUUUUGCUCAUGUUUUCUUUCCUUCUUGCUCCAUUAUAACCUUCAUCAUUGUGUUCAUUUGUUUCUUCCUUAGUGAGCUGUUGAGUUUAAUAUAUCUUCUAAUAUUGAUUCUGCCUGUUCUUUUAAUUAUAACACUAUCAUGUAUAGUCACUUGUAGAGCUCAACCUCACAUCAGUGACAUGCCUUACAGAACCAAGAAGCCGAGUUCUACAGUGUUAGCUUUAGUCACAUCCACAGUGAUCCUGCAUGUAAUGUUCAUCAUCUUAUGUAUUUUACUGUGGCGUUACAGAGCUGUGUUGGUGAUGUAUUUCUGUCUGAUGAGUUUGAGAGUGAUCACAGACCCCCUGCUGUGUGUGUUGGUCUACAGGAAGGACCUCAGGGUUCAGAAAGAAAGACAUGCAGAGCACAGAAAAGACAUAGAGCUGACUCAGAUACAGAGCUCAGACACCCCAAACACACACACAGCUCAAGACGUCUGAGACUAGAAGAUUCUAGGAGAAGAUCUGGACCAAUCUCAGACCUAAAAAUGCACCAAUCAUUGUUUUUACUACAUUGUGUUUUAAAGAUUGUUUAAUAUUGUUUUAUGAUCAUAAAAUCAACAUUCAGCAGAAUAAAUCUGAGUGCAGUUUGCCCUUA